UAAUAAGUGUUUAUGGCACUUCUUAAAAUCCAUAUCCACCCUUGUGUGCAAUGUCAGCCCGUUUUUUCCUUUUAUGAAAGCGGCCAACAACAUCAACUUAUUUUUUAACUGUCUGUCUGAAAAACUAUUAUGAAUAAACAAUUCAAAACA
rnacentral:misc_RNA from 1 species